rnacentral:rRNA from 1 species
CCCGGGUUACGGGCCGUUGCGCUAUCAGAUGAGCCUAGGUCGGAUUAGCUAGUUGGUGAGGUAAUGGCUCACCAAGGCUGCGAUCCGUAACUGGUCUGAGAGGAUGAUCAGUCACACUGGAACUGAGACACGGUCCAGACUCCUACGGGAGGCAGCAGUGGGGAAUAUUGCGCAAUGGGCGGAAGCCUGACGCAGCGACGCCGCGUGAGGGAUGAAGGCCUUCGGGUUGUAAACCUCUUUCAGCAGGGACGAAGCGCAAGUGACGGUACCUGCAGAAGAAGCACCGGCCAACUACGUGCCAGCAGCCGCGGUAAUACGUAGGGUGCAAGCGUUGUCCGGAAUUAUUGGGCGUAAAGAGCUCGUAGGCGGUCUGUCGCGUCGGCUGUGAAAACUCGGGGCUCAACCCCGAGCCUGCAGUCGAUACGGGCAGACUAGAGUGCUGUAGGGGAGACCGGUGUUCCU